UGCAUAUCAAUAAGCGGAGGAAAAGAAACCAACAGGGAUUGCCCUAGUAACGGCGAGUGAAGCGGCAACAGCUCAAAUUUGAAAUCUGGCUCUUUCAGAGUCCGAGUUGUAAUUUGCAGAGGGCGCUUUGGCUUUGGCAGCGGUCCAAGUUCCUUGGAACAGGACGUCACAGAGGGUGAGAAUCCCGUACGUGGUCGCUAGCUAUUGCCGUGUAAAGCCCCUUCGACGAGUCGAGUUGUUUGGGAAUGCAGCUCUAAAUGGGAGGUAAAUUUCUUCUAAAGCUAAAUAUUGGCCAGAGACCGAUAGCGCACAAGUAGAGUGAUCGAAAGAUGAAAAGCACUUUGGAAAGAGAGUCAAACAGCACGUGAAAUUGUUGAAAGGGAAGCGCUUGCAGCCAGACUUGCUUGCAGUUGCUCAUCCGGGCUUUUGCCCGGUGCACUCUUCUGCAGGCAGGCCAGCAUCAGUUUGGGCGGUGGGAUAAAGGUCUCUGACACGUUCCUUCCUUCGGGUUGGCCAUAUAGGGGAGACGUCAUACCACCAGCCUGGACUGAGGUCCGCGCAUCUGCUAGGAUGCUGGCGUAAUGGCUGUAAGCGGCCCGUCUUGAACACGGACCA
rnacentral:rRNA from 1 species